UACGUAGGGGGCAAGCGUUGUCCGGAAUCAUUGGGCGUAAAGAGCGUGUAGGCGGUCCGAUAAGUCCGUUGUGAAAGUCAAGGGCUCAACCCUUGAAUGCCGGCGGAUACUGUCGGGCUAGAGUCCGGAAGAGGUGAGUGGAAUUCCCGGUGUAGCGGUGAAAUGCGCAGAUAUCGGGAGGAACACCAAUGGCGAAGGCAGCUCACUGGGACGGUACUGACGCUGAGACGCGAAAGCGUGGGGAGCAAACAGG
rnacentral:rRNA from 1 species